GACGAACGCUGGCGGCGUGCUUAACACAUGCAAGUCGAACGGAAAGGCCCUGCUUUUGUGGGGUGCUCGAGUGGCGAACGGGUGAGUAACCCGUGAGUAACCUGCCCUUGACUUUGGGAUAACUUCAGGAAACUGGGGCUAAUACCGGAUAGGAGCUCCUGCUGCAGGGGGGGGGUGGGAAAGUUUCGGCGGCUGGGGAUGGACUCGCGGCUUAUCGGCUUGUUGGUGGGGUAGUGGCUUACCAAGGCUUUGACGGGUAGCCGGCCUGAGAGGGUGACCGGCCACAUUGGGACUGAGAUACGGCCCAGACUCCUACGGGAGGCAGCAGUGGGGAAUAUUGCACAAUGGGCGGAAGCCUGAUGCAGCAACGCCGCGUGCGGGAUGACGGCCUUCGGGUUGUAAACCGCUUUCGCCUGUGACGAAGCGUGAGUGACGGUAAUGGGUAAAGAAGCACCGGCUAACUACGUG
rnacentral:rRNA from 1 species